rnacentral:tRNA from 1 species
GCUGGUAUCGCAUAGUUGGUCUAGUGCAAUGGAUCUGUAAUCCAUCGUAGAAAUACAAUCGGGAGUUCAAAUCUCUCUACCAGCU